rnacentral:rRNA from 1 species
UACGGAGGGUGCAAGCGUUAUCCGGAUUCACUGGGUUUAAAGGGUGCGUAGGCGGAUUGGUAAGUCCGUGGUGAAAUCCCCGAGCUUAACUUGGGAACUGCCGUGGAUACUAUCAGUCUUGAAUAUCGUGGAGGUAAGCGGAAUAUGUCAUGUAGCGGUGAAAUGCUUAGAUAUGACAUAGAACACCAAUUGCGUAGGCAGCUUACUACUCGAUCAUUGACGCUGUGGCACGAAAGCGUGGGGAGCAAACAGG